rnacentral:tRNA from 1 species
GCCGGAGUAGCUCAGUUGGUAGAGCGCUCGCCUUGUAAGCGAGUGGGCGUCGGUUCGAGUCCGACCUCCGGCU